UGUAAGCGUAUACCAAAGUUGUUGCAGUUAAAACGCUCGUAGUCGGAAUUUGGCAGUUCCGGAUGUGUGCACGUCGUGUGCGCACUUCGCGGGGAUUGCUUUUGUGGUCUUGCGUAGGAUGAGGCACUUUUAUUAGUGAACGUCCUCACGCAACCACUUUUUACUGUGAGAAAAUCAGAGUGCUCAAAGCAGGCAUUUGCCGUGAGUGUAUUAGCAUGGAAUAAUAGAAUAGGACUUGGUUCUAUUUUGUUGGUUUGUUGGGACUGAGUAAUGAUUAAGAGGGACAGUUGGGGGCAGUUGUAUUUCGGUGCUAGAGGUGAAAUUCUUAGAUUACCGAAAGACAAACUGCUGCGAAAGCGUCUGCCAAGGAUGUUUUCAUUGA
rnacentral:rRNA from 1 species